rnacentral:rRNA from 1 species
AUUGAACGCUGGCGGCAGGCCUAACACAUGCAAGUCGAGCGAGCGGCGGACGGGUGAGUAAUGUCUGGGAAACUGCCUGAUGGAGGGGGAUCACUACUGGAAACGGUAGCUAAUACCGCAUACAAUCAGAUUUGCCCAGAUGGGAUUAGCGAGUAGGUGGGGUAACGGCUCACCUAGGCGACGAUCCCUAGCUGGUCUGAGAGGAUGACCAGCCACACUGGAACUGAGACACGGUCCAGACGCCUACGGGAGGCAGCAGUGGGGAAUAUUGCACAAUGGGCGCAAGCCUGAUGCAGCCAUGCCGCGUGUUUGAAGAAGGCCUUCGGGUUGUAAAGCACUUUCAGCGGGGAGGCGUUACCCGCAGAAGAAGCACCGGCUAACUCCGUGCCAGCAGCCGCGGUAAUAC